rnacentral:rRNA from 1 species
UGGGGAAUCUUGGACAAUGGGCGCAAGCCUGAUCCAGCCAUGCCGCGUGAGUGAUGAAGGCCCUAGGGUUGUAAAACUCUUUCGUGGGGGACGAUAAUGACGGUACCCCAAGAAGAAGCUCCGGCUAACUUCGUGCCAGCAGCCGCGGUAAUACGAAGGGGGCUAGCGUUGUUCGGAUUUACUGGGCGUAAAGGGCGCGUAGGCGGCAAUUCAAGUCAUCUGUGAAAUCUCCGGGCUUAACUCGGAACGGUCAGAUGAUACUGCUUUGCUAGAGUGCAGAAGGGGCAAUCGGAAUUCUUGGUGUAGCGGUGAAAUGCGUAGAUAUCAAGAGGAACACCUGAGGUGAAGACGGGUUGCUGGGCUGACACUGACGCUGAGGCGCGAAAGCCAGGGGAGCAAACAGGAUUAGAUACCCCCUGUAGUCCCUGAGCGGGCUGGCAAGGCGCAU